rnacentral:rRNA from 1 species
UACGUAGGGUGCGAGCGUUGUCCGGAAUUAUUGGGCGUAAAGAGCUCGUAGGCGGUCUGUCGCGUCUGCUGUGAAAACCCGAGGCUCAACCUCGGGCCUGCAGUGGGUACGGGCAGACUAGAGUGCGGUAGGGGAGAAUGGAACUCCUGGUGUAGCGGUGGAAUGCGCAGAUAUCAGGAAGAACACCGAUGGCGAAGGCAGUUCUCUGGGCCGUAACUGACGCUGAGGAGCGAAAGCGUGGGGAGCGAACCGG